GCAUUAAUGGGGUAGUGGUAACCUGGGUCGUUGCCAUACGUAGUGAUAAACGGUGUGCAUCCUCUCGACCCGCCGGGGGUUCGAUUCCCUCUUAAUGCA